rnacentral:misc_RNA from 1 species
UCCGGUUUGUCACCGGCAGUCUCGCAUGAGUCCCCAACUAAAUGCUGGCAACAUGCGACGGGGGUUGCGCUCGUUGCGGGACUUAACCCAACAUCUCACGACACGAGCUGACGACAGCCAUGCAGCACCUGUGCACGCUCCCCUUGCGGGGUCGUUACCCUUUCAGGCUCCUACCACGUGCAUGUCAAGGCCAGGUAAGGUUCUUCGCGUUGCAUCGAAUUAAGCCACAUACUCCACCGCUUGUGCAGGCCCCCGUCAAUUUCUUUGAGUUUUAAUCUUGCGACCGUACUUCCCAGGCGGCUUGCUUAUCGCGUUGGCUUCGCCACAAAAGGGGUCGAUUCCUCUUCCAGCGUCUAGCACACAUCGUUUACGGCGUGGACUAC